CGGCGCGGGCACUCCGCGUUGCCGCAGCCGGGAAUGUUCUCUGGCCUGCCGAGCGGUCAGCUUGUGCCAUACCCAUUUCCAUCGUCAUUUCAUUAUGCGCCGUUAACUCGGCAGUUUUCAUUCAUGACGGGCAGAUUGGAUUAAUGGCCUCCGCCUUCCAAGCUAUUUUUCCAUUUUAUGCCCCAUAUAUUCAGGGGGAAAGGGAUUGAAAAGGACAUCUGAUUAAACCGGCAGCCAUGCCUUAAUGCGGGAGCCUGAGCCCCAGCAGGGGCAGGAUGCACCUGCACAGCUGUGAAGCCCUCUAAGAAUGCCUUUCUGCGGCCAAAUUGGAUCAAUAUUGCCUAGCUGUAAAUUGCUUAAAAAAAAAAAUAAAAUAGCAGCAGUUUGAAUACUGUUCUUGAGCUCCAAGGCCAGCCCAGCACUGUUUGAGUUGGGUCUACAAGCUUCAGAGAUGCCCCACAAGUCACCAGACACAGCGCAGGCGGCCUGGCUUCCCUCCUGGCCUGCCGCAGCUGUGGGACACAGGCAGCCCCCUGUGCACGGGGCUGUUAUCUGAACUGAAGGGAGAACUGCUCUGCAGCCCAGCUGAGAGGUGUAUUUUACAGCGUGACCCUGGGAGGCUGAGUUUCAUGCUGUGGUGUGUCCAAGGGAACGGGGGAUGACAGGAAGAUGCAAAAAGUGUGGUGGGAGAGUGUUGGAGACAGAGAGGCCAAAGCUUGAUGUGGCCUCUUCCAUGGUGGGAACGGUCCUAGGGGUGAAGGGCACCAUCAGGAAGUGUCUUGGUGAAAGCUGCUUGGAGUGCUCCAAAACACAGACAAUAAGCAAUCAAACAAUCCAGUGUCUGAACCUGCUCCCUGUCCCACUUCCAUUUACCACUGAAGACAUAUUCCUCCACAGGAUUUAUGCCUUGGAAGGCUGCAAGGCUUUCCAAAACAAGCAGUCAGAUUCCUCCACAGCUAUCUCCCAACCUGUUGGUUCCUGAGCUCAGAGGGACACAAUCCUUCCCAGCUACUGAGGCAACAUGGCCCAGAAGCCUGCACUGACUUCUGGAACAGAAAGUGUUCAGUGAAACUGGGUGAAGGCUGCAAAUAAAUGUGUCUUUCUUCUCAUGCAGGGAACAAAUUCAGUGCUGCUCAUUGCCCUGAGCUGCUGUGGAAACCUGAGGAACUAAGAGAGAUUCAACAAGAAAUCUGACAAAUUGAAGGAGGAUAAAUCCAUUGGUAGCACAAUGUAGCAGUUGGUCACACAGUGAUCUGAGCAGUUUUUGGCUCAUGAAGCCUGGACUCUGUGUAAAUUUAGCAAUUUGCACUAUGCCGAAUGCUGGAAGCUAGGAAAGAAUGCCACAGGGAGGAUUGCUCUGUACUCAAAUGACACCUGGGCUCAGAUGAGAGACAAGUCACUAUCCAAACAGAGAUAAGUUUGAGGAUUUUUUUUGGGAAGAGUCAACAUGGUUUUAUAAAAGGAAAUUGCACCUCUUAAAUCUAUUUGGGGCUUCAGAAGGCAUCAACAAAGAAGUGUAGAGAGCUAAGAACAGUUUCCCAAAGCCCUUCAUCAAAGCCUUUACAAGAAAUCCUGCUGUGAUGGUUUUAGAGGAUUAAUGUGGCAAAAUCUGGAGCUGAGAUGCUCAAGGAGCUGCUGGUUAAUAACACACAAGAACUUCAUGACUGA